rnacentral:rRNA from 1 species
AUUGAACGCUGGCGGCGUGCCUAACACAUGCAAGUCGAUCGGUAACAGGUGUAGCAAUACAUGCUGACGAGAGGCGGACGGGUGAGUAACGCUUGGGAAUCUGCCUAUUAGUGGGGGGACAACCCGGGGGAAACUCGGGCUAAUACCGCAUACGCUCUACGGAGGAAAGCCGGGGACCGCAAGGCCUGGCGCUAAUAGAUGAGCCCAAGUCGGAUUAGCUAGUUGGUAGGGUAAUGGCCUACCAAGGCGACGAUCCGUAGCUGGUCUGAGAGGACGACCAGCCACACUGGGACUGAGACACGGCCCAGACUCCUACGGGAGGCAGCAGUGGGGAAUAUUGGACAAUGGGCGCAAGCCUGAUCCAGCCAUGCCGCGUGAGU